rnacentral:rRNA from 1 species
GACGUAGGGCGCGAGCGUUGUCCGGAUUUAUUGGGCGUAAAGAGCUCGUAGGCGGCUUGUCGCGUCGUGUGUGAAAUCUCAGGGCUCAACUCUGACAUUGCAUACGAUACGGGCAGGCUUGAGUUCGGUAGGGGAGACUGGAAUUCCUGGUGUAGUGGUGGAAUGCGUAGAGAUCCGGAGGAACACCAGCGGCGAAGGCGGCAUCCUGGACUGGUACUGACGCUCAGGAGCGAAAGCGUGGGGAGCGAUCCGG